GAUGAACGCUGGCGGCGUGCCUAAUACAUGCAAGUCGAGCGAACGGACGAGAAGCUUGCUUCUCUGAUGUUAGCGGCGGACGGGUGAGUAACACGUGGAUAACCUACCUAUAAGACUGGGAUAACUUCGGGAAACCGGAGCUAAUACCGGAUAAUAUUUUGAACCGCAUGGUUCAAAAGUGAAAGACGGUCUUGCUGUCACUUAUAGAUGGAUCCGCGCUGCAUUAGCUAGUUGGUAAGGUAACGGCUUACCAAGGCAACGAUGCAUAGCCGACCUGAGAGGGUGAUCGGCCACACUGGAACUGAGACACGGUCCAGACUCCUACGGGAGGCAGCAGUAGGGAAUCUUCCGCAAUGGGCGAAAGCCUGACGGAGCAACGCCGCGUGAGUGAUGAAGGUCUUCGGAUCGGAAAACUCUGUUAUUAGGGAAGAACAUAUGUGUAAGUAACUGUGCACAUCUUGACGGUACCUAAUCAGAAAGCCACGGCUAACUACGU
rnacentral:rRNA from 1 species